rnacentral:rRNA from 1 species
GCUUGCUACAGGCUUAACACAUGCAAGUCGAGGGGCAUCAGGAAGAAAGCUUGCUUUCUUUGCUGGCGACCGGCGCACGGGUGAGUAACACGUAUCCAACCUGCCCUUUACUCGGGGAUAGCCUUUCGAAAGAAAGAUUAAUACCCGAUAGCAUAAUGAUUCCGCAUGGUUUCAUUAUUAAAGGAUUCCGGUAAAGGAUGGGGAUGCGUUCCAUUAGGUUGUUGGUGAGGUAACGGCCCACCAAGCCUUCGAUGGAUAGGGGUUCUGAGAGGAAGGUCCCCCACAUUGGAACUGAGACACGGUCCAAACUCCUACGGGAGGCAGCAGUGAGGAAUAUUGGUCAAUGGGCGCUAGCCUGAACCAGCCAAGUAGCGUGAAGGAUGAAGGCUCUAUGGGUCGUAAACUUCUUUUAUAUAAGAAUAAAGUGCAGUAUGUAUACUGUUUUGUAUGUAUUAUAUGAAUAAGGAUCGGCUAACUCCGUGCCAGCAGCCGCGGUAAUACGGAGGAUCCGAGCGUUAUCCGGAUUUAUUGGGUUUAAAGGGAGCGUAGGUGGACUGGUAAGUCAGUUGUGAAAGUUUGCGGCUCAACCGUAAAAUUGCAGUUGAUACUGUCAGUCUUGAGUACAGUAGAGGUGGGCGGAAUUCGUGGUGUAGCGGUGAAAUGCUUAGAUAUCACGAAGAACUCCGAUUGCGAAGGCAGCUCACUGGACUGCAACUGACACUGAUGCUCGAAAGUGUGGGUAUCAAACAGGAUUAGAUACCCUGGUAGUCCACACAGUAAACGAUGAAUACUCGCUGUUUGCGAUAUACAGUAAGCGGCCAAGCGAAAGCAUUAAGUAUUCCACCUGGGGAGUACGCCGGCAACGGUGAAACUCAAAGGAAUUGACGGGGGCCCGCACAAGCGGAGGAACAUGUGGUUUAAUUCGAUGAUACGCGAGGAACCUUACCCGGGCUUAAAUUGCAGUGGAAUGAUGUGGAAACAUGUCAGUGAGCAAUCACCGCUGUGAAGGUGCUGCAUGGUUGUCGUCAGCUCGUGCCGUGAGGUGUCGGCUUAAGUGCCAUAACGAGCGCAACCCUUAUCUUUAGUUACUAACAGGUUAUGCUGAGGACUCUAGAGAGACUGCCGUCGUAAGAUGUGAGGAAGGUGGGGAUGACGUCAAAUCAGCACGGCCCUUACGUCCGGGGCUACACACGUGUUACAAUGGGGGGUACAGAAGGCAGCUAGCGGGUGACCGUAUGCUAAUCCCAAAAUCCUCUCUCAGUUCGGAUCGAAGUCUGCAACCCGACUUCGUGAAGCUGGAUUCGCUAGUAAUCGCGCAUCAGCCACGGCGCGGUGAAUACGUUCCCGGGCCUUGUACACACCGCCCGUCAAGCCAUGGGAGCCGGGGGUACCUGAAGUACGUAACCGCAAGGAUCGUCCUAGGGUAAAACUGGUGACUGGGGCUAA